rnacentral:lncRNA from 1 species
UCGGUAAUAGUGGCUAAGAACAAACCUCUUUCUCAUCAAUGACUUCAAUUCUUCCCAAGUGCUAACUGGUCUUCCCCCACUCCUGCGUUGUGAAGUAACCACUUGGUCCCACCAUGAAAUGGCAUAGUCACUGAACUCUAAAACUGCUAACUUCACCUUCUUCUCCUCCGAAUAAUUAUAACAUUCGAAGAUCAUCUCAACCUUUCUCUCCCACUCCAGAUAUGCUUCGGGAUCACUCCUUCCUUUGAAUGAAGGAAUGGUCAUCUU